rnacentral:rRNA from 1 species
AACGAACACUGGCGGCAUGCUUAACGCAUGCAAGUCGAACGAGACCUUCGGGUCUAGUGGCGCACGGGUGCGUAACGCGUGGGGAUCUACCAUAGGGUACGGAAUAACUCAGAGAAAUUUGUGCUAAUACCGUAUAAUGUCGCAAGACCAAAGAUUUAUCGCCCUUUGAUGAACCCGCGUAAGAUUAGCUAGUUGGUGGGGUAACGGCCUACCAAGUCGACGAUCAGUAGCCGGACUGAGAGGUUGAACGGCCACAUUGGGACUGAGAUACGGCCCAG